rnacentral:misc_RNA from 1 species
AAAGUCGUAACAAGGUAACCGUAGGUGAACCUGCGGUUGGAUCAUUAACAAAAUGAUUUUAUUGAGAGGCAACUCUCUUUAAAAAAGGGGAAGGAGUUUGUACAGUUUAACGACUUGCACUCUUCUUCUCUGAAACCUUUUGUGAACUUGUUUUAUUGUCUCUGGUGGGCUGGGGAUUCGUUCUCAACUCGCCAGUAAACCCUUUGAACAUUUAUUUUUCAAUCGUCUCAUAAAACAAAAAACAAAAAAGAAACAACUUUUGACAACGGAUCUCUUGGCUCUC